UACGUAGGGGGCAAGCGUUGUUCGGAAUUACUGGGCGUAAAGGGCGCGUAGGCGGCACGACAAGUCGGGAGUGAAAGCCCGGGGCUCAACCCCGGAAUGUCUCUCGAAACUGUCGAGCUAGAGUGCAGAAGAGGCAACUGGAAUUCCCAGUGUAGCGGUGAAAUGCGUAGAUAUUGGGAAGAACACCUGAGGCGAAGGCGGGUUGCUGGGCUGACACUGACGCUGAGGCGCGAAAGCCAGGGGAGCGAACGGG
rnacentral:rRNA from 1 species